rnacentral:rRNA from 1 species
UACGAGGGGGGGCUAGCGUUGCUCGGAUUGACUGGGCGUAAAGGGCGCGUAGGCGGAUAGUACAGUCAGGCGUGAAAUUCCUGGGCUCAACCUGGGGGCUGCGUUUGAUACGUAUUGUCUGGAGUUCGGAAGAGGGUCGUGGAAUUCCCAGUGUAGAGGUGAAAUUCGUAGAUAUUGGGAAGAACACCGGUGGCGAAGGCGGCGACCUGGUCCGAUACUGACGCUGAGGCGCGAAAGCGUGGGGAGCAACAGG